UAUCCUCUAAGGUUUAAAAGGAUCACAGCAAGCAGUGUUUGUACCUUUUGAAUACCUAGGGAAUUAUUUACAUUUUGAGGACUCCGAUCUGAUUGUUCACGUGUCGUGCUUCUGAAUUAACUGUGUGCAGACAAAAGAGACGUAUUGAAACGUUGUGCCAAAUUCUGCAGAUAUUAAACUUCAAUAUCAAGUUAUAAGAAUUAUAAGGAGCGGACUACCGAAGCGUGCGUCUUAAAAUUAUUGCAGGAGAAUUAUAGACCUUGACCGAUUACACGCGGUGCCUUUGAGGGAAAGCUGAAGAAGUGCAAAUAAGUCAAAGAUUCCGCAACCACCGAUUCAUCAUGGGUUCUUCUCUAGUUGUUCUUGGUGCCAUCCUCCUCGUGUGUUUCCCCGUGGCGGGUGCAGCGGCAUCCGAGAGUUACUCCUAUCAGAACACAGGGGAUAUUCUAAAUGUGACCCUAUCGAAAGAUACGGUCUCAAAGGAAAAUUCUACCGAAUUCCCGAAAUCCGGAUACCAUGGCGACCCACACGCAACUGCAAAAAUUUGGGGCUUCUCUUGCCUGGCCGUGUUCAUC